AAAUAAGAAGUAAUUAAAUUACAUAUUAAUUUCGACUUAAUAAUAGAUUAAAUAAUCCUUAUUUU